rnacentral:lncRNA from 1 species
CCCUAGCUGGCAUUGUCAAGGAAUUUGGAGAAUGAAUUUCAUGCAUUUUUUUGUUUCAGGCCAUUCUGACAACUCAGAACAGACAGAUACCUACAGCUUCAUCACUGCCAGCAGCACACUGCUGGGCUGGCAUUUACUGAUCAAAAGAAACUUUGCCUGAAGAAUUUCCUCUGUCCAAAGAUAAAAGGGAUACAGUACUUUCAUGGGCUUUGUUGGAGACUCUCAGCUCCCCUUCCGAAAAUCCCAUUGGCAGGAAACUCAUACAGGCAUUCAUCUCAGGAAGGAUUUGGGGGAACGAGCACCUGUCACUCUGCCUCAAUAUUGUGACUAAAGGGAGCUUUUCUUCUCCAGCAUUUUCACAUAAGACAUAUAAGCUCCUGGGUUCACAGCCUUUGAACCUCAGCAAUAGGGCCAACUGCCUGAGUCAUUUAAAACCCACAGCAGAAACAAUAUAACCCUCUGCCAGCUAAAAAAUUAGUCGUUCCAUUUACGCUUCAUUUCAGCACACUGCAUCUUCAGGUAAACCAGUGGUAAAACAAAGUUCAUAAUUAGUUUUUCUUUUACGUUGCUUUGAUUUUCAGAUCCUUCAUUCUCCCAUUUAAAUAUUUUAUAAGCCCCUCAGUGCCCACAUCUGUCCAUCUUCUUUCCUUCUGUCUUUCCAAGAGCCUUUGUGUGAUUGUUUGAUUUAUCUGUAUGAGAAAAUUGUCUGCUUACAAAAAGCUCAACCAAAAAUAGAACCAUAAUGAAUAUCAGUUAUCAGUGCAACUACUGCCUCAUAUCACAGUAGUCUAAUUCAUACAUUUUAACACAUUCAUGGAGACCUAAAGAGAAUCCAUUGUGUUCUAAACAGAGCUGUGAUAACUGUAAUUGAGUAAAUUUAAACACUUUCCUGAUAUAUGAUCCCUUGCAAUCUCUGAUUAUAUCUAAUUUUUUUAAUUAUUUCAGGAGAUCCUGAAGCAGCCUCCAUGUGCACAAUCAGUAGAUACAAAAGUUAAUUCUAUAAUCUGCCUUUCUAAACUUGUUUCCUGCCUUCCCAAGUUUUGCUUAUUUUACUUUACUUUCUGUCUUCUUGUGUUU